GUCAAUGGUAAUUUCAAAUCAGUCUAUUACUGAUGUAGCGAGUGGGGUGUGUUCCAUGAGAAUUGCGCUUGAUUGAAUCAGGUGGGGGUUGUUUGGCGCUACACCUUUAAAUCCAGCGAGCUGGCGUUUUUCCGAUUUUGUGCUGUCACAGACUGUUGCUUCCUUGGGCUCUUGGCUGAGUGUACGAGUUGACGUGAGUUCAUGUUUAAAUGUAUUGUGAGAUCAAACCUCGUUGGCAUAUGUGAUUUUGAUUCAGACGAUUACAUUGUUUCAUAGCCUCAUCUGGUGUUUGUGCGAUUACCCAGUGCCGUGGGUGCUGCUAGUGUCCUGUCUUUGCGAGCCCUCAUCGGCUGCGAUUUGUGUUGGCGUGCUUCAACGAGGACUUCCGGGUUUAGAGUGAUCACUACAAGUUUGCCGAGUGCGUUUGUUGUGCUGAGAACUUUGGUUUGGGAAUGUUCAAGUAAAAACCAGACGGAGUAAAGUGACUGCUACAGUAUUAUAAAUAACCAAGCUUUUGGCUUGAUGCUGUGGUCUGUUCAUACAGGAGGAGCGACAUAUGCUGUCCUGGCCACUGUUUUUCCUGUGCUCUUGUUUUUAGGAUUCAGCUCCGUGUGUGUGUGUGUGUGUGUGUGUGUGUGUGUGUGUGUGUACGUGGGGAAGAACCGUCUAUUGGGUUGCCUAUGAGCCUCCCCCUGGUGUGUUGAUGUAUGUUGUGUGUUAUGCAAUGUGUGUAUUUUAGGCCAUUGGGUUGGUGCAAUAUCCUGGGUAGGGGGGGAUAACAAUUUUGUUGUGUGGCCACUGGUUUGUCUAGUGUGAAUUAUUUUCUUUUGGGUUAUAUUUGCGCAUGUGAUUUUGUGACGUGCCUUAUCAAUUUUGAGUUUGUUGUAUUUUGUUUUUGAGUUAUUUAAACACUUUGAUUUUGGAUUUUGUUGUCCCUGACUCUGUUGCCCAGAGGCCUAAUGUCCUUUGAAUACUGUUUCAUGUUGUGAGUCCAUUGAGCCAAAGAAAAGGGGAAAUAAAUAAAUUUUCUAUUUUUAUAAUA